GGGUUGUGAGGUUAAGCGACUAAGCGUACACGGUGGAUGCCCUGGCAGUCAGAGGCGAUGAAGGACGUGCUAAUCUGCGAUAAGCGUCGGUAAGGUGAUAUGAACCGUUAUAACCGGCGAUUUCCGAAUGGGGAAACCCAGUGUGAUUCGUCACACUAUCAUUAACUGAAUCCAUAGGUUAAUGAGGCGAACCGGGGGAACUGAAACAUCUAAGUACCCCGAGGAAAAGAAAUCAACCGAGAUUCCCCCAGUAGCGGCGAGCGAACGGGGAGGAGCCCAGAGCCUGAAUCAGUGUGUGUGUUAGUGGAAGCGUCUGGAAAGGCGCGCGAUACAGGGUGACAGCCCCGUACACAAAAAUGCACAUGCUGUGAGCUCGAUGAGUAGGGCGGGACACGUGGUAUCCUGUCUGAAUAUGGGGGGACCAUCCUCCAAGGCUAAAUACUCCUGACUGACCGAUAGUGAACCAGUACCGUGAGGGAAAGGCGAAAAGAACCCCGGCGAGGGGAGUGAAAAAGAACCUGAAACCGUGUACGUACAAGCAGUGGGAGCCUCUUUAUGGGGUGACUGCGUACCUUUUGUAUAAUGGGUCAGCGACUUAUAUUCUGUAGCAAGGUUAACCGAAUAGGGGAGCCGAAGGGAAACCGAGUCUUAACUGGGCGUUAAGUUGCAGGGUAUAGACCCGAAACCCGGUGAUCUAGCCAUGGGCAGGUUGAAGGUUGGGUAACACUAACUGGAGGACCGAACCGACUAAUGUUGAAAAAUUAGCGGAUGACUUGUGGCUGGGGGUGAAAGGCCAAUCAAACCGGGAGAUAGCUGGUUCUCCCCGAAAGCUAUUUAGGUAGCGCCUCAUGUAUCACUGUAGGGGGUAGAGCACUGUUUCGGCUAGGGGGUCAUCCCGACUUACCAAACCGAUGCAAACUCCGAAUACCUACAAGUGCCGAGCAUGGGAGACACACGGCGGGUGCUAACGUCCGUCGUGAAGAGGGAAACAACCCAGACCGCCAGCUAAGGUCCCAAAGUCAUGGUUAAGUGGGAAACGAUGUGGGAAGGCCCAGACAGCCAGGAUGUUGGCUUAGAAGCAGCCAUCAUUUAAAGAAAGCGUAAUAGCUCACUGGUCGAGUCGGCCUGCGCGGAAGAUGUAACGGGGCUAAACCAUGCACCGAAGCUGCGGCAGCGACGCUUAUGCGUUGUUGUGUAGGGGAGCGUUCUGUAAGCCUGCGAAGGUGUAGUGUGAGGUAUGCUGGAGGUAUCAGAAG
rnacentral:rRNA from 1 species